UACGGAGGAUCCAAGCGUUAUCCGGAUUUAUUGGGUUUAAAGGGUGCGCAGGCGGAUUGGUAAGUCAGUGGUGAAAUCCUCUCGCUCAACGAGAGAACUGCCAUUGAUACUAUCAGUCUUGAGUACAUUUGAAGUGGGCGGAAUGUGUCAUGUAGCGGUGAAAUGCUUAGAGAUGACACAGAACACCGAUAGCGAAGGCAGCUCACUAAACUGUAACUGACGCUCAUGCACGAAAGCGUGGGGAUCAAACAGGAUUAGAUACCCUGGUAGUCUACGCCGUAAACGAUGAUUACUCGAUGUGUGCGAUACACAGUACGCGUCUAAGGGAAACCGAUAAGUAAUCCACCUGGGGAGUACGUUCGCAAGAAUGAA
rnacentral:rRNA from 1 species